AGUAUAGGAAUACAGUCUAAGUUCGCGACAUCGUGUCGCAACGACUGCAUGUCCCACUUCCUGUAGG
rfam:Psychrobacillus sp. FJAT-21963 super3, whole genome shotgun sequence.